ACCGGCCCUCCGGGGACUGAUGACUCCGCACCGAUAAUCCACUCGCUCCAGCUGCUCCCACCCACAGCCAAAAUGGAGACGCCCUCGGAUGAUAGAACCAGCUCAGAGAAUCAAGGCCACUUCCCCCAAGAAAACAGCUGCCUGCCAAGAGCUGAAGUUCCUGAUCUACUACUGAAUUUCCAUAGUUUA